AGCAGCAGCCGCGGGAAUACGGAGGGUGCAAGCGUUAAUCGGAAUUACUGGGCGUAAAGCGCACGCAGGCGGUCUGUCAAGUCAGAUGUGAAAUCCCCGGGCUUAACCUGGGAACUGCAUUUGAAACUGGCAGGCUAGAGUCUUGUAGAGGGGGGUAGAAUUCCAGGUGUAGCGGUGAAAUGCGUAGAGAUCUGGAGGAAUACCGGUGGCGAAGGCGGCCCCCUGGACAAAGACUGACGCUCAGGUGCGAAAGCGUGGGGAGCAAACAGGAUUAGAUACCCGUGUAGUCCCUGUCUCUUAUAC
rnacentral:rRNA from 1 species